UACGUAGGGUGCGAGCGUUAAUCGGAAUUACUGGGCGUAAAGCGUGCGCAGGCGGUUCUGAAAGUCAGCUGUGAAAGCCCCGGGCUUAACCUGGGAAUGGCGGUUGAAACUACAAGGCUAGAGUGUGGCAGAGGGGGGUGGAAUUCCACGUGUAGCAGUGAAAUGCGUAGAGAUGUGGAGGAACACCGAUGGCGAAGGCAGCCCCCUGGGUUAACACUGACGCUCAGGCACGAAAGCGUGGGGAGCAAACAGG
rnacentral:rRNA from 1 species